rnacentral:lncRNA from 1 species
AGCCAUCAAAAUUACUUGCUUGAAGUAUAGGAAAAGGGUGGGCAAAAGCCCCUGAGUUGUUGCUUGAUAAUUUAUCAAGUAGUAAAUUUGCCUUUAGUACUUUCAUCUCCUCUCUUUGAAACUUCUGCCCUCUGUCCCACCUUUAAUGUUUUUCCUACUAUUCCACUGCCACCACCUACCAACCUCUGCCCAGACUUGUUUCUGUUGGAGCAAAGUCUCAAGAGAUCCAUGCUCUAGUUAUUUCUCCUCCUUUCCCAACCUGCCCCUUUACAUUUUACUGCCUGUGUCCUUUAACUUUUCACAAGUAAUUUCCUUAGAAAGAAAUCUGAAACACUUGGGUUUCCUAGGCAGUUCACAGGAGAUUAUGCUUGAAUGAAUUCUUUCAGGUGAUAUAGUUAUUUUAAAGAAUAUUCCUAGAAGUAUUAUGUCUUUGUCCAGAAUAAUGACAUCCAUGUGGCACAAAUUUAGACAAAUUUUGAAAUGGAAGUCAAAAGAGCAUGGGAAGUGGGCCUCUUCUUAACAGUUAGUGUCCCUUUUCCCAUCUGGUAACUUCACAUCUGAGUAGGGGCAUCUCUGAUUGACAGGCUAUCCAUUUAUAGUUGUGUUAAGGUAAGCUAGUUGCUAUAACAUAUAGACCCCAAACAGAACUAUGACUUACAUAGAAUAGAGGCUUAUUUCUUGUUCUAAAAAGAGCAGUGGGCAAGUAGUCAAUUUAGUGAGGUGUUUACCUCAUGGAAUUAUCCAUGACCGUAAGUUGGUGAAGCACUUACCAGUUUUAGCAUUCAACAAGCAGAUCUCAACAGUUACCCUGGGGAGGCAGGGGAUCCUCCUCUUUCAGCCCAAUCCAAAGCACGAAAGAAUAAGGAGUUACUCAUUUGGUUUGUACUGCAGACCUGCAAGAAAUGCUCAUCAUUACAUUCACUGGCAACAUCUGGGCCAGGUGGAUGUAUCCAAGUGCAAGAGAACCUGGGAAUUGUGGCAGCAGGAAGAAGUGACUAGAGAUUUGGGGAACAAUAAUGCAAAUCAAACAUAAAUCUACUCCUGGCUUUUGUUGGGGGACUGCUUUCCUUCUCAUAGAAACUCAACAGUAUUUGGACACAAAUCCAGGAGUACAAGAUAUUGUUCUUGCGAUAAAGGCAGGAAAAAUUGGUAAAUUAGGAUGAAAAAAAGGUGAAAUUUUAAAAACUUGCAACUAUUUUUGUAGAUUAAUAAUAUAAGCAUUAUUUUUUAGAGGAAAGACUUUGUAAGUUUUUAUUUGAAUAAUAUUAGGAUAUUUUUGAUAUGAAAAGUUUAGUCCUCCAUUUAGUCUCAUAAGGGUAGUUGGGACAAAAAGUUGAGAGAAUAUUUUGCAAAGAAUAUGGCUAACCCUAACCUUUACUGGGGCAGAUCUCUGACACUGGGCAAUUAUUAUAGAAUAAACUUGACUUUUCAUCCUUUGGCUAGAGCUUGGGGGGAAAAAGAGACUGUAAUUUUGGACUCAGCACUAGGUCAAGGUGAGCUCUCACCUGCAGGUGGGGGUCUAGAAAUUACAAAAACAUGUCAGCAAGAUAGUUUGAGGCGAGAGCUGAUAGGCAUUCCUUACUCUGGGAUAAGACUGGUGGUCUUAAAAGCAGUGGUCACGGUUACCAAUUCAUGUUUCUUUCCAGCAUCCUAAUUCUACUUCUGUAUAUUAUCUUCAAGCCCUCAAUAAGUUUAAUUAUUCAUUCUGACCUAUUAUCUGUUCUGGGUAUUUGUUUUCUCUGAUAAGUGGAAGCUGAUCCAUAAUGGGGGGUGAUCUAGGGAAGAAAGAAGGAAUUUUGGAUUGGGCAGAGGGGUGU